rnacentral:tRNA from 1 species
GCUCUCCUGUGGCUUAGUUGGCAGAGCAUUGCACUAACAAUGCAAAGGUGGUGGGUUCAAAUCCCAAGUAAUGCA